GGUUUCUUUCUGAAUUAACCCAAAUCUUUGCAUUUACAGUAAAUUAGGGUUUCAAGUUCUGCUUGUGCAGUGUCUCUAGUCAUUGACGUGGAUGAAAAAGUUCCUUAAGACGGUUGGAAUAGUUAGGCAAUAAAUGAGAAGAAGAGUACACCUUUUGAUUCUGGGAUUGGAGUUGCUGGAUCAAUUAGCCAGCUUUAGCCACGCUUUAGCAAUUCUUUUUCUUUCCUUCUCUGCUUGCAUUCUGUUUCGUAUGUCUAAACCAAGCCUGCAAUACAAUGGAGAUCUUUGCGCACAACGUCCUAUGACGGUGCAAAUUGUGCUUGUAGACUCGUGAAGGUCCCCUUUCAUCCCCGUCUCCUGUUUCCUUAUGGUCUGGUGAGUGAGCUUCUCUUGUGCAUAGAGAUGUACUGGAAACCAGAAUGAUAGACAUAACUUCAUCUAAAUUUUGAAGGCAGAAUAUGAGGCUUUGUGGUCCUCCUAAUUUAGUUAACUUAUUAUACAUUAGACUAAAAAUUUCUACUAUCACAGGAUCAUAUAUUUCAGUUUCAACUUAUGAAUUCUACAUUUAUUUGGGCUAUUUUGGACAUUUUGUAUACUUCCUUUCAUCCUGGUAAAGUUUUGAGCUUUUUUUUUUUUUUUUUAAUAAGUUUCUGAAGCUGCAAUUAUAGGCAAUAACAUCUGAAGUAUGUGAGUUCAGUAUUUUAGAGUACAUGUCACUGUACCUCAGCAAUUAUACAUGUUUGUUUUACUAUCUGUUAUAACAUAUAUAUUGUUGUAUUUGCAAACUAGACAUCUUUUGAGGAAGCGAAACUGAGUGAAAGUGUGAAAUUGGCCACAUAUCCACUUGGAUAUACCUUCUAUAUUUGAUGAGUAUUCGUCUCCUCCUUUGUCUUUCUACAUCUCUCUCUCUCUCUCUCUCUCUGUCUCUCUGCUCUACGGACAUGUUCGCUACUUAUUUUAAAGUGAUACAGAAGUUUCUCUUCUCUGGACCAUGUCAGUAUAUUGAUAGCACUGGUGCAAGCAGUUGGUAUUUCAUGGCAAAUACAGUAAUUGACUCGAAUGAAAUCAUUCUUUUCCUUUGCUAACCUAGUUUCAUUACCAUUCCACCUUUGGGGUACUAGUUUGAUAAGUUCAUUCUUUAAAGGGCGAAAGCAGUGGUGUAAAAUGGAUUUGUCUGUCUUGAGAGUCAAGCAGGUUUUUAAGGGACUCGCAUUUCCAAUAAUUGCGCUAGACAUGGUUCAGCAUACCAAAGAAUGCGUCUUCUUACUGGCCUAAGACGUAAAAAUGAAAUACUUCACAAGUCAUUUAUACAAGUUGUUAGGCGCGGAAGUUGUUACCAUAAACAUGCUGAGGAAGCGAUGAAACUGUAUUAGUCAUAGCUUCAUUUUCAUCCCAAAUGUAAUGUUUUGUGUUUUUGUAUUUUUCUAUGUUAGUACCAAAGCUAUAUUUCUAUAUUUUCUUUUUUCCCCGUCCCAACUUUCCCUCUUGACAUAUAGAUUAUAUAUAAUGGAAAAAGUAAAAAUUAAUUUUAUAUCAGAAUGAAAUGGGGUUAAAAAUUAAUUUUAUAUCAGAUACCUUUGAUCUCUUCUUCCCUACAAAUAGUUUGAGCAAAUCUUGAUCAUGAUGGACAACCCCUUAGCGUCGGCUAGCUGGGAAGGGGAGUUGGGG
rnacentral:lncRNA from 1 species